rnacentral:rRNA from 1 species
UACGUAGGAGGCGAGCGUUGUCCGGAGUUACUGGGCGUAAAGGGUGCGCAGGCGGUUGCCCGCGUGGCGAGGUGAAAUCUCCCGGCUUACCUGGGAGGGGGUCCGCCAGACGGGGUGACUAAGAGGGUCGGAGAGGGGCGUGGAAUUCCGGGUGGAGCGGUGAAAUGCGUAGAGAUCCGGAGGAACACCGACGGCGCAAGCAGCGCCCUGGACGACGCCUGACGCUGAGGCACGAAAGCUGGGGGAGCAAACAGG